rnacentral:rRNA from 1 species
AGCGGCGAACGGGUGAGUAACACGUAGGUGAUCUGCCCAUCAGACGGGGACAACGAUUGGAAACGAUUGCUAAUACCGGAUAGGACGAAAGUUUAAAGGUGCUUCUGGCACCGCUGAUGGAUGAGCCUGCGGCGCAUUAGCUAGUUGGUAGGGUAAAGGCCUACCAAGGCGACGAUGCGUAGCCGACCUGAGAGGGUGAACGGCCACACUGGGACUGAGACACGGCCCAGACUCCUACGGGAGGCAGCAGUAGGGAAUCUUCGGCAAUGGGCGAAAGCCUGACCGAGCAACGCCGCGUGAAUGAUGAAGGCCUUCGGGUUGUAAAAUUCUGUUAUAAGGGAAGAACGACUUUAGUAGGAAAUGGCUAGAGUGUGACGGUACCUUAUGAGAAAGCCACGGCUAACUACGUGCCAGCAGCCGCGGUAAUACGUAGGUGGCGAGCGUUAUCCGGAAUUAUUGGGCGUAAAGAGCGCGCAGGUGGUUGAUUAAGUCUGAUGUGAAAGCCCACGGCUUAACCGUGGAGGGUCAUUGGAAACUGGUCGACUUGAGUGCAGAAGAGGGAAGUGGAAUUCCAUGUGUAGCGGUGAAAUGCGUAGAGAUAUGGAGGAACACCAGUGGCGAAGGCGGCUUCCUGGUCUGUAACUGACACUGAGGCGCGAAAGCGUGGGGAGCAAACAGGAUUAGAUACCCUGGUAGUCCACGCCGUAAACGAUGAGUGCUAAGUGU